UUUCAAGAAUACAACUAUUUUAAAGGUUUUAUAGUUAGUCUUAGAAAUAUAGAUCGUUUUCAACCCACGCUUUCGCCUACACGACGAGUCCAGUAAAGCAUAUCAAAAAUGUAUGAAACUUGAAAUGUACUUCGAAUGAAUUAUUUCCGCCUACUUGUUUAUAAGGCAUGUGGUAAUAAAAUGCCAUUUUUACAAGAUUAAUACCAAUUAGGGGCAAGUACUGUUGUCUACGUGUUUGCUGUUCAUGUCUCGUUCAUUACGUAACUCCCACCUACCGAUGCGGAUUGAUUUUUGUUACCAUCUCGCUCUCGAAGGGCGCAUGCGCGAAACUUAACGCACACACCCUUAUCAAACGACUACACAUCGAACGUUUGUAAGUAACAGAAUUUGAACCUUAUUCGACUGGUGCAGGGUUGAAUUUGUAAUGGUAAAAGGGACAGUUGGUAUUUUUAGACAAUACGUGUCUAUUAUAGGGAGUAUAGACGCGCCCUCUCUCAUACAAAUCGGGAAACCUCGUCGCGGAAGGUUUUCCACUUUCUGUCUAUAUUUUCUGAAAAAUAUCCACAUUUUACAUCACAGUUUCGGCGUCUUUUUACACUAGUUCGUACGUCAAAUCACUGUGUGUGUUCAUGGGAUUAGAAUUUACGUUUCAUAAGGGAUUUUUCGUCGGGGAAAGGUGUAACUAAAAAUAGAUCACUGCCCGAUAUACUUGUAGGGAAAUCUAGUGAGAGCUUUCCAUUCAUAAAUUACGUUCAUUUGGUGUCGGGCAGUGAAGUGAUACAGUUGUUGGGGCCGAUAUAACUGGUGAAUGACUGUAUCAGUUGGUGAUAACGUUCGAGUGCUGACGUAGAUCGAUAAGCACCUAUUCGAUUCGUCUUUGAAGAAAGAGCAGCGGACAGCAGAAAAAAUGGCGUCGGAGGGCGGCCUGGCGCCUGGAGGCGAUGGAGACAUGCCGGUGGGCGGACCGAAGACUCCGCAGCAGAUUGCGGCGCAGCGUCGCCUGCAGCAGACGCAGGCGCAAGUCGAUGAGGUGGUGGAUAUUAUGAAGACAAAUGUGGAGAAAGUGUUGGAGCGAGAUCAGAAACUCUCAGAACUUGAUGAUCGAGCAGAUGCUCUGCAGCAAGGUGCAUCACAGUUCGAACAGCAGGCCGGGAAACUGAAAAGCAAAUUCUGGCUGCAAAAUCUAAAGAUGAUGAUAAUCGCAGCUGUCAUUGGAAUCAUCAUCUUGGCUCUAAUCAUCGCCAACUUUGUGUGAACAAGUUUCGGUAACCGAAGUUUAAUUUAGAAGUUACUUGUUAUAAUGUUAAAAUACUUAGUAAUAUACAGUAUGUUGUUAAUUUAUGAUUACGUUGGUAUUAAGCCUCUUUUGGUCUGUAAACCAUUUAUUUGGAGGAUUGAGGCCGAGGUAUGGAUUAAUUACAGGUGACAACAUCCCAGCUGCCCUAACACCAGCAAAGAACUUUGAAACAACUUUUGUUUUUGCUAGAAAUUAGUGUUGUUAUUAAAUGUCCUGUGGAUAAUAUCACCAAAUAUAUCCGAUGUUUUGCCUACUAUAUAUCAACUAUUUAUCCUAUCAAAACUUUUUGUAAAUUUCGAAAUCACGCGUCCUAUGACAUGAUUUCCUUUUUAUCACACAAUGCUCGGUGAAAUACAAAUAUAGUAUUUUUAGAUGAUCUUUCUUUGUUAAAAUUUUACCACAGAAAUUAAUAUUUGCUAUUAGAUAAGACUUAUCAAAAAUACAGUAAUUUCUCAAAUAUUUUUUACUUUUUCGAAAAUAGGCUGUUUAUAGUAAUUGCAAUGGUAUUAUUUCCAUUUGGACCAAGUUUCUUGAGCAUUUUUUUUCGGGUUAUUUGUUUUGUAUCUACUUUUUUCAAACGUUUAAAUUGUUGACCUUUGAUAAUAUGUACUACCUAUACAAAUAUGUUUAUCUGCUUGUAAAAUCCUAAGCCUCUUUAUAGGUGUUAUAACGAAUAGAUAUUUACAAUGUAUUAACGAUCGGUCCGUUUAUGAAAUGGACAUCGGUUCGGGCUGAUUUCUGUCAUGUAUUCAAAGUUCCAAGUUUCACAAUGUACUAACAAUUUUGAUAGCAUAGCGUGUAUUGGGCCCAUCUUAGCACUACGGCGGUUUAGUAAAUUAUUUACUUUGUAUGUUUUAAUCGCUUUUAUAGCUGUUAUCUAUAACCGUGAUCUCUAUUUGAAACGAAAAUUUGUACUUAUUCAAAUUGUUGUUUGUUUAAGUAUAAUUAAUUAGAGUAUGUUAAGGACUUGUGCUAUCUUGCGUUUUUACAUAAAUUAUAAUCGUAACUGGCCAAUAUUUUUAAAAAUAUAUAAUCUAUCCUGUGUAUGUACUACAAAAAAAUAUUACAUUAAAUAUCUUUUUACUGUGUGUGUAUUAAUGUAUGUAAAAACAGCUUUGUAGUUAGAAAUUGUAAAAAUUCACACUAGGUAAUUAGAUGUUUCAAAUAAAUAGCCACUCAUUAGUUAUAUUAAUCAUGUAUUCGUGGUUCGUUUACAUUUGGUCGUUGCGUACCGUUGACAUUGUCGUAUAUCAUUUCUCUCACUGUAAACUGCAAUGCACCAUCGUUCGCGGUGACGUUUACCUAUAAUUAUAAUGUUUGCACGGACUGUCCCUCUAGCCAAGUGACACUUUGAUCAUGUAUGGCAAUGACAUUUCGUUUUGACUAGUCACGUGACUUCAACCUAUCAUCUUCAUACAUUCGAGCGUUAUCUAUCAACGUUAACGAUUGCCAUUUGUCGAAAUGUCAUUGCUUGAGGGGGUGCCGUUAACGACCGAAUGUGCGCGCCUUUACUUUUACGAUAUAGAAAUAGUAUUGAGAAGAUUGGCCAGUACAUAAUAUAGGUGGAAAUAUGUGGAAAAUCAUUAGCAUUAUAUUAAGAUCGGUUCAUAUCAUGUAUGGCGACCGGUUUUUAAUAAAACUACGUAAGUUGCACAUCGUUAUUGUUGACAGUCUCAGUAGGGAGAGAACCUAGAUAUGUAAGUUUGACGUCAUCAUUUUGAAACACAAUAUCUUGAACGAUAAAAUUGGGGGGAAAAUAUUUUUUUAAUUUGUAGUUUUAAAGAGUUUCUUAUUUGGUUCUAUACAGACCUAUUAGUACUAAUUUUGAUAAAUAUGAAUAACAAGAAGAUUAUAUAACAUGUAUUUUUAUCAAUACCCGAUGUUUGUCGAGACAUUGAGACGUUGGUAGGUACUUCAGGACGCAAAUAUCAUCACAGAGAGAAGUUUGUCUAAACGCAAAUAUUUGUUUUGCGAGUGUUUCUACGUAAUUACCUACAAACACCCCAAGCACAUCAAACUCCGAACUUUCAGCAAACAACACCGUAAUCUGGUCUGUUUGAGUUACAUAACAUAUCUGAAUUUACAAACUUUAUAGAAAUAUCUAGUAAUUAAAUAUUUGAUAAAACUUUACAACAAUACCUAACUUUUGUUUUACACUAGUUUAUAGCCCAAGUUAGGGGAGAUUUUUUCGGUAUGGCAAUACUAUAUUGUGUUUCAAAAAAGAUGGCCCCAGAAACAUUCACUGUAAGGUAAAAUGCGAACACACCAGAAUGUAUGUUAUGGGAUUAGAUAACAAAUUGGCUGUUGCUUAUAACGUUGUUUGAUUAUAACACGUAAUUAUGACACUAGUCGCAUUACGCUAUACAUUUUAAACAACAUUAAUAAGUAGGACAGCCAUAGCUAUAAGCAUUAUGGUCAUAAAGUAUAAUUAAAUUAAAUAAAAAUGUUGUAACUGAA